GAUGAACGCUGGCGGCGUGCCUAAUACAUGCAAGUCGAGCGAACAGAUGAGGAGCUUGCUCCUCUGACGUUAGCGGCGGACGGGUGAGUAACACGUGGAUAACCUACCUAUAAGACUGGGAUAACUUCGGGAAACCGGAGCUAAUACCGGAUAAUAUAUUGAACCGCAUGGUUCAAUAGUGAAAGACGGUUUUGCUGUCACUUAUAGAUGGAUCCGCGCCGCAUUAGCUAGUUGGUAAGGUAACGGCUUACCAAGGCAACGAUGCGUAGCCGACCUGAGAGGGUGAUCGGCCACACUGGAACUGAGACACGGUCCAGACUCCUACGGGAGGCAGCAGUAGGGAAUCUUCCGCAAAGGGCGAAAGCUUGACGGAGCAACGCCGCGUGAGUGAUGAAGGUCUUCGGAUCGUAAAACUCUGUUAUUAGGGAAGAACAAAUGUGUAAGUAACUAUGCACGUCUUGACGGUACCUAAUCAGAAAGCCCCGGCUAACUACGUG
rnacentral:rRNA from 1 species